CACGUAGGGGGCGAGCGUUGUCCGGAUUUAUUGGGCGUAAAGAGCUCGUAGGCGGCUAAGUAAGUCAGGUGUGAAAACUCCAGGCUCAACCUGGAGACGCCACCUGAUACUGCUGUGGCUAGAGUCCGGUAGGGGAGCGUGGAAUUCCUGGUGUAGCGGUGAAAUGCGCAGAUAUCAGGAGGAACACCGGUGGCGAAGGCGGCUCUCUGGGCAUGUCCUGACGCUGAGGAGCGAAGGUGUGGGGAGCGAACAGG
rnacentral:rRNA from 1 species